UACGUAGGGGGGCAAGCGUUGUCCGGAUUUAUUGGGCGUAAAGAGCGUGUAGGCGGCCGUACAGGUCAGCUGUGAAAACUCGAGGCUCAACCUCGAGACGUCGGUUGAAACCGUACGGCUAGAGUCCGGAAGAGGAGAGUGGAAUUCCCGGUGUAGCGGUGAAAUGCGCAGAUAUCGGGGAAGAACACCCGUGGCGAAGGCGGCUCUCUGGGACGGUACUGACGCUGAGACGCGAAAGCGUGGGGAGCGAACAGG
rnacentral:rRNA from 1 species